rnacentral:lncRNA from 1 species
CUGACCUCAUGAUCUGCCCACCUUGGCCUCCCAAAGUGCUGGGAUUACAGGCGUGAGCCACCGCACCCAGCUGGAAUUUUUUUUAAAUCAUUAUGAAAACACAGUUAAACAUUUAAGUUCAUACUCUGUGCCGUUGUUUUUAGUGACAGGAUUUCAGCAGUGCACAGAAACAGUCCCUGCCCUUGAGGAGCUAUUGGUCUAGUUAGGGGAGGUAGACAAUAAACACAUAAAUAUGUCAAUGUAAUAAGUGCCAUGGAGAAACAGCAGAGUAAGGGUGUUAGGGAAUAUUUAUGGAGUGUGAUUAUUUUAUAUAAGAUGGUUUGAGAAGGCCUCCUUGGGAAGGUGGCAGUCCAACAGAGACCUGGAUGAACUAAGCAACCAAACCUUGUGGGUGUUCGUGAGCCACUGCGCCCCACCUUAUUUAGUAUUAAAGUGUUCUCAUUACUUGUACACACAAAUUUAAAUGUCUUAGCUUUACAGUAUUGCUUGCUCAGCGAAUAUAUGUCAUGAGAAAGGUCUGUCAGAUUCAUACAGUAAACUUGAGCACCAAUUAUGUGUUUUGACACUACUGGGCACAAAGACAAUGGAAAAGAAAAGGUGUAACAAAUCCCCUGUCUGAGAUUAAUAAGCCCCAAGGCAACAAUUUGGGCUUUUGUUUGUUUUGUCAAUCUGAGAAAUGCAGUUUCAGAACUUUGAUAGGUGGUACUGUUAGCCCUGAUGACAUUCAAAGUCCUCAUUUCAAAUAUUCAAGGUAGAAAAUUCAAAACUCAGUUGUAAAACAAAAGAAUUGGAUUAGCAGACCCUUUUCAUGAAAUGAAAUCUUACUUAGAAGCCUGUUAUGUAAAGCAGAAAAGCCAAGCUACUCUGGUGGUUAGUAUCUGGAAGCCUUCCUACUGUUGUGUUGUCACCCACCUGCACUGCCAGUGAUGCCUAAGGCUCAUCUUCAAGCUUCCAGGUUUUACCAAGCACACUCUGAAAGUGAGUCUAUGUAUUAGGGAUAACAGAAGGAAAUCAAGCAAAAACUUGCUCUUUAUUUACAAUAAACUCCAUAAGGAAUUUGAAUUCUAAAGUUAACAAAUCAAUGAACUCCAUGUAAAAUAGUCUUUACAUGGAAUAAUGGAAAACAAUCGAUGGUCCUUUUCUUAAAAACCAAUUUUUCCCCAUUGUAAUACCUUUUUUUUUUUUUAAGAUGAGAUCUCGCUCUGUUUCCAAGGCUGGAGUGCAGUCAUUUCCAUGUAGUAUGUACUUUUCCCGAGUACUGCCAUGACUCACUUGCCAUUUUCAAGGAAUAGCAGCCCACUGACUCAACACCCUCACAGACACACCCAGGAUCAAUACUUUGUAUCCUUCAAUCCAAUCAGGUUGACACUCAUUAUUAACCAUCACAAACUUCUUUAUAAAUUGUUAUGGAAUGAGCUCCAAUACAUAUUGUUAAAGUUAAAAAGCAAGAUUAAAGACUACCAUUUGUGUAAAAAGGGGGGGGGAUUAAAAUAUAUGUAUGCAUAUUUGCUUGAAUAAGCAUUAAUUAACUCUUGAAGGAUAUUGUUAAUAUUGAUUGCCUCUGGGGAAAAGAACUGGGU